UACGUAGGCAGCAAGCGUUGUUCGGAGUUACUGGGCGUAAAGGGUGCGUAGGCGGUCCUAUAAGUAUGGUGUGAAAUCUCCCGGCUUAACUGGGAGGGUGCGCUAUAGACUGUGGGACUAGAGUGUGGGAGAGGAAAGUGGAAUUCCUGGUGUAGCAGUGAAAUGCGUAGAUAUCAGGAGGAAUACCGAUGGCGAAGGCAGGUCUCUGGGCUGACACUGACGCUCAUGCACGAAAGCGUGGGGAGCAAACAGGAUUAGAGUACCCU
rnacentral:rRNA from 1 species